rnacentral:rRNA from 1 species
CCUACGGGCGGCAGCAGUGGGGAAUAUUGCACAAUGGGGGAAACCCUGAUGCAGCGACGCCGCGUGAGCGAUGUAGUAUUUCGGUAUGUAAAGCUCUAUCAGCAGGGACGAAUAAGCAAUGCAAAUAGUUUUGUGUAUGACGGUACCUGUUUAGAAAGCUCCGGCUAACUACGUGCCAGAAGCCGCGGUAAUACGUAGGGAGCAUGCGUUGUCCGGAAUUACUGGGCGUAAAGGGCGCGUAGGUGGGCGCUUAAGUCAGGUGUGAAAACUCCGGGCUCAACCUGGGGAAUGCAGUUGAGACUGGUUGUCUUGAGGGCAGGAGAGGAAAGUGGAAUUCCUAGUGUAGCGGUGAAAUGCGUAGAUAUUAGGAGGAACACCAGUGGCGAAGGCGACUUUCUGGACUGUAACUGACGCUGAGGCGCGAAAGCGUGGGGAGCGAACGGGAUUAGAUACCCGAGUAGUC